UUUAAAUCGAAGUUUAUUAAAGGGAGCUGUGCACAUAGACUUAAGAUACAGAGACAGAAAUAACACUUACAGUGAUGUCUUAACUACCUUGAUUAGACAAGUCCAGCAAUUACACAUUCAUUGAUCAGCAUACAUACAAAUAAUAUUGAAACUAGGAUUGGUGCAAAAAAAAAAAAAAUAAGAAAAUUAUCCUAAAUGGUUUAAGUGCUAUUGUGAAACUAAUUUAAAUUUUCUAUUUAUAAAUCAUGAAAUAAAUACAAUAAAAUAUUGUGAUGCAUUUUCAUUAUGAUUUCAAAGGGAGAGUGGAAAUCUGUACAAAUUCGUAAAGCAGCACUAUUUUUGUAAUAAAACAUGAAAUGGGAAUAAAGUA